AACACUUUGAUUAGCCAAAGGUUGAGAAGCGAUUAUCUGUUCUUAUCAGCUUAUAUCUGAUAUGUCCUGCAUCACAGGACCAGAAUAAUAAAGUGAUUUUUGGAAAAUGAUGGAGUGCUAGGGGUUUACUGCACCACUGUCACAGGUUGGCCUGGUAUUGCAGUACAAUGACUGCUCACUUGGU